AUUGAACGCUGGCGGCAGGCUUAACACAUGCAAGUCGAGCGAGCGGCGGACGGGUGAGAUAUGGUUGGGAAACUGCUUGAGGGAGGGGGAUAACUACUGGAAACGGUAGCCAAUACCGCAAUCCAUCAGAUGCGCCUAGAUGGGAUUAGCUAGUAGGUGGUGUAAUGUCUCACCUAGGCGACGAUCCCUAGCUGGUCUGAGCGGAUGACCGGCCACCCUGGAACUGAGACACGGUCCCGAUUCCUACGUGAGGCAGCAGUGAGGAAUAUUGCACAAUGGGCGCAAGCCUGAUGCAGCCAUGCCGCGUGUGUGAAGAAGGCCUUCGGGUUGUAAAGCACUUUCAGCGAGGAGGCGUUACUCACAGAAGAAGCACCGGCUAACUCCGUGCCAGCAGCCGCGGUAAUUC
rnacentral:rRNA from 1 species